rnacentral:rRNA from 1 species
AGAGUUUGAUCAUGGCUCAGGACGAACGCUGGCGGCGUGCCUAACACAUGCAAGUCGAACGGAGUAUUCAGCAAUGGAUACUUAGUGGCAAACGGGUGAGUAACGCGUAGACAACCUACCUCUAAGUUGGGGACAACACCGCGAAAGUGGUGCUAAUACCGAAUGUGGUGUCCUUAUCGCAUGAUGAGGAUAAGAAAGGU